rnacentral:rRNA from 1 species
UACAGAGGUCCCAAGCGUUGUUCGGAUUCAUUGGGCGUAAAGGGUGCGUAGGUGGCAUGGUAAGUCGGGUGUGAAAUCCCGGGGCUCAACCCCGGAACUGCACUCGAUACUGCCGUGCUCGAGUACUGGAGAGGAGACUGGAAUUUACGGUGUAGCAGUGAAAUGCGUAGAUAUCGUAAGGAAGACCGGUGGCGAAGGCUAGUCUCUGGACAGUUCCUGACGCUGAGGCACGAAGGUCAGGGGAGCAAACGGG